CAUCACAAGAAUAAGAAGAUAACUCGACAAAGUUAAACUUGCUGGUGAGGAGGCACAGGCAGAGUCCCCCCGCAGCUGUGAUCCGGAUGGCAGCAGAAACAAUGAGAGCACUGAAGACUGCAGGCAGCAGGCCAAGGACACAGCUGCAAAGAAGCAUCGCCUGCGUCUCAUCGGACGUGGGAGCCAAAGCCACACAAGAAAGGUCGAGGCAGCGCCGGCCUGGCUCUCUGGGUGUGAAGCAACAGGGUGGAAUCCCUCUGAGCACCGGACAGAGGUCCCGAGAGACCUACUGUUCUAAAGGGUGGACGAGUGUUCACUUCAUUGAUAAGGACACAGCCCGCUCUUGGACACAACAAAAAUGAAAAAGCUGGUUUUAGAGACUGCACUCCCUUCCUCGUUUAAUCAUUUUUUUUAAUUUAGAUUGUUUUUUAACCAUUUUUUACAUGUUUUAUAGUGUGAUUUAUAUCCCUUUUAGCUGUUUUAAAUUUUUCUGAGAUGGCUUUUGUGGUUUUUAUCGGUACACAUGCAAUAUGUUUUAAAAAUGGAUUAAAUGAUAUGUAAACUGUAAAAAGAAUACUGUGGAAAUGUAACAAUAAAAGUUUUCGGGAAAAAAAAUCUGUUCUUAUCAGUUUAAUAUCUGAUACGUCCCCUACCCGGGGACCAUAUAUUAAAUUGAUUUUUGGAUCAGGGAGAUGGAAUAGGGGCUUGCUCCGUCCACUCCACGCAUCGACCUGGUAUUGCAGUACUACCAGGAACGGUGCACC